CGGAUCCCAUGGGGCAGGAGCUCUCCAGAGGAGACUAAGGCAGGCCAAGGCAGACUGUGGGGAUUUGGCCUUUGGAAUGGUCAGAGUAGAUCCAUGUCAAGAACGGUGCUUCUUCCACAUGUUUUAAUCCAUUAAAACAAGGGAUGUCUUUCUCAGGACUCCUCAGUUUUGAAGCAGGUUUGAAGUUGCAGAGGGAAGACGACAGUGUGGUAGGGCAGGAUUGUGUCUUCUCUUGGUUAAUAGUGCUGAGCUUAUGCAACGGAGCAAGCCAGCACCUGCUUGAGAGCGGACGUGGGAGCCUCGGAAGGGACUGGCUCCAAAUCUGGCCACGGUGGGGAUGAUGACAAAACCAGUGCUCCAUCCAGUGCUCCAUGAAGUAGGCAGGUGCACAUGGUAGGUCAGUUACCUGCAAGGAGUCCUUGUAAUGGCAGCAGUGAGCUGAUGGCCUGAAAUAGUGUCCAUGUUCUCUGUUUGGGCUGAAUUUUAUCUGAUGACCUUGUCUGAUUGGCAGGUUUCUUCAGUCCUGUUCCCCAGGUAGUGCCCCUCUACUUAGCCAGGGCUAGUCCUGCUCCAAUACCUGCUGGAAGGAGCAGAAACGCAAAUAAUUUGCCUCCCGAUUUCCUGCAGUGAUCAUCUCAGGCAUUGACACUCCACACUGGAGGUGGCAGUUUCAGUCUUCGGAGUCCUGCUGAAGGAUAUGCUGUCACUAGCAUGUGUUCACUGCAGGCCUGCACCAUCAAGGGCUGCCUGAUGUGUUCCCCAUCAUAUGUGGCUCUGCAGCAGGUCUUACAUGACAAGGAGCAAAAAACUUGGACAUCUGAGAAACUCCAGAGGAGGUGGUCCAUCCAGUCGUAAGCGAUCAACAGAACAAAGCCCAGAUGUCUUUGGCAGUGGCAGGCCACAGGAAGCCACUGUGUGGCAGUUCUGCUGGAAACAGUCAGGAGUCUCAGAAGUCACAAAAAUAGGUCACAUUUCCAACUGGGAUACUGAACAUAGAACUCCAGGACACAGAGAAAUGGAGCAGACCACAGCUUAUCUAGCCCCAUGUGACUGAUGUACAGCACAUAAAGCAUGCCAAACGAACACCUGGUCAGUCAGCAAAUCCUACCUGGUCAGUUAGAAUGAGGAGGGUAUUAUGGGAGAGAGAGUGAGGCAGAGCUAUGGAAUAGCUUCUCCAGAGCAACACUGCCCAGCUGAGCCAAGUUCAUUGGGUGAAAACUCUUCUCCAACCUGCACUGCCUCUGAAAUACUCUACCUACAUCUUGGCACAUGGGUCAGUACAGGAUAUCCCCCACCCAGAUCGCUGCAUUUUGUGUCCCUCUGCAUACAUCUGUCAGCAUUUCCUCUUUAUGCGUGGGCCUGCCCUUCUCUGCUAGCCUUUCCCACCUUGGGGCUCACAGACCCAGCAAGCAGCUGGCUGAAGACAGCACUGCUUGUGCCCUUGGGAUCAGCUUGAGAGUACAAAUUCCAUGAAGAAUGAGUUAAGAAAAUUUACUUCAAGUUCAGUUUUUAAGGACUUUGGGUUUAAAAAAAAGAAAAAAAAAGGGAAAUAUGAAUGAUUUGGGGAAGCAACUUUCAUCCUUUAGUACAGGUUGGUGGGGGUUUUUUUGGAGUCUUUCCAAAGACACUUGGGCCUGGGAGGAAAGGGGGUGAGAAAUGUUUUAAAAUAGAAGAGGCAAAGAAGUCAGAGGAAAACAGUGCUGAGACAUUCACGUUCUAAGAAUUCAACCCUAGCAGUACUCUUGGCAUGGUAGUUAUGUACAUAAUUAGGGUGGUAUGAUGGUAGUGGGAAUAGAAGCUACUUACAAAGCUAAAAGUUGUACAUUAAAGCAGAUAAGAGUGCAAGUUGUGCUCAGACAACUAUCAGGCCUGUUAGAGUCUAGAAGCUAUGCUAGGUGCUAAAUAAAUCAAGGAGAGUCACUUGACAUUUGCUAGCUGGAAAAAGAGGGUUCCCCUUCAAAGAAGGGCUUCAUAUCCACAUCCUUAUAUGCUUGAGUGAUGGCACUGUACAUCUGAGCUCUCUCUGGAAUUACUAGCACUGAAUUGCUUAGAGAGAGGACAAGGUUAUUAGCUUUAGCAGGAAAAGGAAAUUUUAUACAUGAUAUAAAUGCAGAAUUGACUUGUCUGUAGCCCAAAACUUUGGAGAUUACGCAUGCAAAAUGAGAAGUUGAUCUAAUUUUGAAAUUGUCUUCAGUACCAUGGAAAGUAAUUUUACAGCAUGUUUGCCCCCUUCACUUUAUCACAUCAAAAUCUGCAGAGAUUGGCUCUAUUCAUUUAGGCUUAAAUGCAGGACCUGAGUCUUCUUAGAAAUGGUUAUUGGUCGGGGAGAAAUAAGCUUUUCUUGAAGUGAUGUAGGUGAGUAGCUUUCUUAAGUGCAUGUUUGAGGAUGCCUCCCAGAUCAGAAGGAUGGUUCAGAUGUGGCAGACCUUUUAGACACAGCCUUACUGAGGACUCCUCAGUUACCUACUAAAAGCUUCAAGAGCUGGAUGAAGACAGGACAGACAGAGGCAAGGGACAGCCAGUAAUCUGAGUGCUCAGUAGUGGAGUUGUUUCUGUAGCUGACCAGCCCAUUGAAAACAUCCCUGAGAUUAGCUCAGAGCUUUGUGCUAAUGGCACCACGGUUGUGAGUUUGAUCCCAAUAUGGGCCAGUCACUUAAGAGUUGGACUUUAUGAUCUUUGUGAGUCCCUUCCAACUCAAGAAUAUUCUGUGACAUUUUUGUGAAACCUCCAGAGAGGACCAUGCAGCCUUUUCCAGCAUUCCAGGUAGCUGUUUGUGUUUCAGAUAAGGGCUGAUCUCAUGAGUGAUGUGCUGAAGAGGAGAGCUGAGCAACCCCUGGUUUUUUUCUAGGGUGCACCAGACCUUGCUGUAGGGCUUGGCACCUGCUCAGCAGCAGGAGAUGGUGUCUAGGGAGCUGUAACAACCUUGCUGGUGCUUCCCAGUGGGAGGAAAAAAAAAAAGAAG